rnacentral:lncRNA from 10 species
CAGGUGUAGGAGUUCUGAGAGGUUGAAGUGGCUGCUAUUUGCAGGUAAGAGUACCAGACAGAAGGAAACUACACAAAUAAAUACCUUUAGAUAUCUUUAGAGAGGACCCUUUUAGUUUAUUGUUGAAUGGUAGACUGCACUUCCAUAGAGCCUAUAGCUCCAUGAGAUCAGGCAAGGAACCACCAGAAAACUAUUAGCCAUAUAAUUCCUAGAGAUUAUACAAGCAUGAGAGACUUUUGUGCUCCAAUCAGGAUAGGAUGGACAGAAUUUUGGUCCCCAUGACAUUAGUCCUCUGUUAUUACAUCUGCCGUUAUUUCAGAUUACAUUCCCAAAAGGAUUUUGCAGUUGCUAUUAAACUAUCUAAUCAGCUGAUAUUAAAAUAGGGAGAUUAUUCUGGACUAUCUUGACGGACCCAGUGGAAUCAUGUGAACAGGAAGUCAGAGAGAUGUGGCAGAGGAGAAAGUCUGAGAAAUUUAAAGUAUAAUAAAAGUUCACUGCAUGAUUAUAGAUUUAAUGAUGAAGAGAGAAAGUAUCAACAAAACAGUUAUCUCAAUACUACAGCCACAAGCAACUGAAUUCUGUUGGCAUCUAGGAGCUUGGCAAAACACCCUGAAGUCCCAGAUGAGAAUGGCAGCCCUAGCUGAUACCUUGAUUUUAGCCUAGUGAGACCCUAAACAGAGGACUAGCCAUGUUAACCCCAAUUUCUAAUCUACAGAAACUAUGACCGAAUAUUCAGGUGUUGUUUUCUGCCUGAGAAAUCUGCCAAAAAUGUUCGCUAGAACCUAAUCAAGACCUGGAUUCCAGUUUAUGGGAAAUAGAGGAAAUAGAGGAACAAAAAUGUACUGUGAAGAAAUAAUCAGACAAAUCCAGAAUGUGGGGAGUACUAUAGGACAGCUGGCUAAUUCGUUCAAAAACCAAUGUCAAAGAACAAAAAUCAGUAUCAUUAAGAAAAAAUAUGGAAAGAUGAUUCUAAGCUGAGACAAAAAGGAUAGCAAAAGUAAUGCAGCC